rnacentral:lncRNA from 1 species
GACUGGUUACAGUGGUUCGAUUGCAUCAGAAAGGUACAACUACUCUAUUGACAUUUGAUAUCUCGAGGUAGAGAUAGGAUUGGGCCCAAUAACUAUUAGGUGAGGGUCUCAAUGAUGGCUUUGCAUCUACUGAUGAAUGAUGGGUCUGACUUAACUAAAAAUAUGCCAAUAAUUGUUAGGAGAGGCCACAAGACUUAGAGACCAAGCCCAC